rnacentral:tRNA from 1 species
UCCCUAGUGGUCCAAUGGUUAGGACUUGGUGCUUUCACUGCCAUGGCCCAGGUUCAAUCCCUGGUCAGAGAA